rnacentral:rRNA from 1 species
UACGUAGGGUGCGAGCGUUGUCCGGAAUUAUUGGGCGAAAGAGCUCGUAGGCGGUUUGUCGCGUCUGCCGUGAAAGUCCGGGGCUCAACUCCGGAUCUGCGGUGGGUACGGGCAGACUAGAGUGAUGUAGGGGGAGACUGGAAUUCCUGGUGUAGCGGUGAAAUGCGCAGAUAUCAGGAGGAACACCGAUGGCGAAGGCAGGUCUCUGGGCAUUAACUGACGCUGAGGAGCGAAAGCAUGGGGAGCGAA